rnacentral:lncRNA from 1 species
CGAGAAAAUAGUUUACAAUUGAAUCUGCAGAGGAAAUUUGGAGCUCUGUGCUAUUUAACCGCUUGUGGGGGCAGGGUGAGCUCUGAGGAGCCGAGGGCACGCAUCUCCCCCAGGCACUGCUGGGAUACAAUGACUUCACAACGCACUGAAGUUGAAUUUCCUCGAGUUUGGUGGCAAAGUGCAGAAGCAGAAGAAUGGAUCUCCUACAGGUAUGGAGAGAGACGCAGGAGGCUGAGUGCAACGGGGCAAUCCUUUAAGCCGAUCCACAAAGUACUCAUUGUUCCAGGUUAAGACAAGCAACAUAGCAAUAAAUAUUGAGCAAGGAAGUCAACCUGUAUCCACAGCCUUUGAAUAACACAGA